GUGCCACCAGCCGCGGUAAUACGGAGGGUGCGAGCGUUAAUCGGAAUUACUGGGCGUAAAGCGCGCGUAGGCGGCUUGUUAAGCUGGAUGCGAAAUCCCCGGGCUCAACCUGGGACUUGCACCCGGAACUGGCAGGCUAGAGUACGGUAGAGGUGAGUGGAAUUUCCUGUGUAGCGGUGAAAUGCGUAGAUAUAGGAAGGAACACCAGUGGCGAAGGCGGCUCACUGGACUGAUACUGACGCUGAGGUGCGAAAGCGUGGGGAGCAAACUGGAUUAGAUACCCUGGUAGUCCACGCCGUAAACGAUGUCGACUAGCCGUUGGGGAGCUUGACUUCUUAGUGGCGCAGCUAACGCGAUAAGUCGACCGCCUGGGGAGUACGGCCGCAAGGUUAAAACUCAAAUGAAUUGACGGGGGCCCGCACAAGCGGUGGAGCAUGUGGUUUAAUUCGAUGCAACGCGAAGAACCUUACCAGGUCUUGACAUCCUCGGAACUUGGCAGAGAUGCCUUGGUGCCUUCGGGAGCCGAGAGACAGGUGCUGCAUGGCUGUCGUCAGCUCGUGUCGUGGGAUGUUGGGUUAAGUCCCGUAACGAGCGCAACCCUUUGUCCUUAGUUGCUAGCAGGUAACGCUGAGAACUUUAGGGAGACUGCCGGUGACAAACCGGAGGAAGGUGGGGACGACGUCAAGUCAUCAUGGCCCUUACGACCUGGGCUACACACGUGCUACAAUGGGCGGUACAGAGGGUUGCCAAGCCGCGAGGUGGAGCCAAUCCCAGAAAACCGUUCGUAGUCCGGAUCGGAGUCUGCAACUCGACUCCGUGAAGUCGGAAUCGCUAGUAAUCGCGAAUCAGCAUGUCGCGGUGAAUACGUUCCCGGGCCUUGUACACACCGCCCGUCACACCAUGGGAGUGGGUUGCGCCAGAAGAGGGUAGUCUAACCUUCGGGAGGACGGUCGCCACGGUUUGAUUCGGAGGGGGGGUGAAGUCGUAACAAGGUAGCC
rnacentral:rRNA from 1 species